GCGAGGAGCAGGAAAAGGAAGAAGGUAGAUAAUGACUAUAAUGCCCUUCCAGAAAGACUCAGCACCUUGCCUGAUAAAUUGUCUUAUAAUAUAAUGGUACCAUUUGGCCCUUUUGCCUUCAUGCUAGGAAAACUUGUCCAUACUAAUGAAGUAAAUGUUUUACUGGGGGACAACUGGUUUGCAAAGUGCUCAGCAAAGCAGACUGUAAGUUUAGUUGAGCACCAGAAAGAACAUAUAAGAAAAACAAUAGAUGACUUUAAAAAAAUGAUGAAAAAUUUUGAAUCCAGAGUUGAAUUCACAGAAGAUUUGCAGAAAAUGAGUGAUGCUGCAGGUGAUAUCGUUGACAUAAGAGAAGAAAUUAAAUGUGACUUUGAAUUUAAAGCAAAACACCGAAUUGCUCAUAAACCGCAUUCCAAACCAAAAACUUCAGAUAUUUUUGAAGUAGAUGUUGUAAACGAUGUGAAAUCCAAGGAUUUGCCUGCUGAUAAAGAACUGUGGGCUCGACUUGAAGAACUAGAGAGACAAGAAGAAUUGCUGGGUGAACUUGAUAGUAAGCCUGAUAUUGUGAUUGCAAAUGGAGAAGAUACGACAUCUUCUGAAGAGGAAAAGGAAGAUCAUAACACAAAUGUGAAUGCAAUGCAUCAAGUAACAGACUCUCAUACUCUGGACAGUUGUCAUAAGGAUGUUGCAAGUUCAGAACCAUUCAGUGUUCAAAUGAGUAGUCAGUUGAACUGUUCAGUGAAUGGUUCCAGUUCUUACCACAGUGAUGAUGUUGACGAUGAUGAUGAUGUGGACGGUGACAACAUUGACGACGAUGAUAGUGAUAAUGACCAUGAGGCUUUAGGGAUUGGAGAUAAUUAUCUUCCAACAAUAUAUUUUUCUCAUACUGUUAAGCCUAAGAGGGUCCGAAUAAAUACUGGAAAGAAUACCACUUUAAAAUUCAGUGAAAAGAAAGAAGAAGACAAACGUAAAUGAAAGAACAGCACUGGCAGUGGCAACUCUGCCCAGGAGCUGCCGACCGUCAGGACACCUGCUGACAUUUACAGAGCCUUUGUUGAUGUUGUGAAUGGAGAAUAUGUCCCUCACAAAUCCAUGCUGAAGUCUCGAAGUAGAGAGAAUAGUGUGUGUAGUGACACCAGUGAAAGCAGUGCUGCUGAAUAUGACGAUAGGUGGGGAGUUUUGAGGAGUAUCAGCUGCGAAGAAGCCACUUGCAGUGACACCAGUGAGAGAACUUUGGAAGAGGAAACACAAGAAAAUCAUCAAAAGAAACUUUUACCCUUAUCAGUAACACCUGAGGAUUUUUCUGGAACUGUUAUAGAAAAAGAAUUUGUAUCACCUUCCUUAACACUACACCCAGCCAUUGCUCAUCCUGCACUACCCAUUAUUCCAGAAUGAAAGGAAGUUCUGUCAGAAGCAUCAGAAGAAACUGGAAAGAGGGUUUCAAAGGUUAAAGCUGCCAGAUUGCAACAGAAAAACUAGGCCCUGUCUAGGAAAUGAGAAUUUACAUCCUAAAACCUAGUUGUUCAUUUGUUUAGAAUAUCUAUAGCAAAAUAGGUCACAUGUAGUUUGAAAUAAGGUAUCCUGAGUUA